GUGCUGGCCUCAAAGCAGAGGCUCAGAAACUUUUUCUGCUUGCUGAUGCAUCUGAAAUCCCUGUUAACUAGCUGGACUAUUUCCCAGCCCUUCGCCAAGUGCCACCCUUGAGGCAUCUCUUAACCACCCCCAACUGCUACCACCCAAGAUAAGCAGGUGUGGCUCUGGGCCCCUCAGCAGCAGGCCAGUGGAGAGGUGAGACUAGCAGUGUGUGGCCUGGGACAGGAGUAGAUAAAAGGCAGCCAUGGAAAGAACUAUUCCUUCCAGCCCAGAACACUGUCUCUGAACAGCAAGAUGGCUUUGAAACGCUUUCACAACGAAGGUGUGCUCCACUGGGCACCACAACAUACGGUUCAGACGUUUAAAGCCUGUCUCAGCCCAAUUUCCUCUCCAUUUGCUCCCUGGGUAAGGUAUCCCCCCUUCAGUGCAGGCAGAACUGGCGACUUGCUUCUAAUCAACAAAAUAUGGCAAAGUGGUGGAGUCUAGAAGUCUGAGAUCAGGGCACCAGCCUGGCCGAGUUCUGAUGGCGUCUCGCUUUGUCACCCAGGCUGGAGUGCAGUGGCGCGAUCUCGGUUCACUGCAACAUCUACCUCCCAGGUUCAAGUGAUUCUCCUGCCUUAGCCUCCCGAGUAGCUGGGAUUACAGGCACCCACCACCACAUCCGGCGAAUUUUUUGUAUUUUUAGUAGAGACAGGGUUUCACCAUGUUGGCCAGGAUGGUCUUGAUUUCCUGACCUGGUGAUCUGCCCACCUUGGCCUCCCAAACUGCUGGGAUUGCAGGCGUGAGCCACCGUGCCUGGCCGACCACUGAUCUUUUCACUGUAUCCACAGUGUUGCCUUUUCCAGAAUGUCAUAGAAUUUGAAUCAUACUAUAUGUUGCCCUUUCAGAUGAGUUUCUUUCACUUACUAAUAUUCAUUUGUUUCCUCCAUGUCUUUUGGCUUGAUAAUUCAUUUCUUUUUAUCACUGAAUAAUAUUCCAUUGUCUGAUGUACCACAGUUUAUUUACGCAUUUACCUACUGAAGGAUAUCAGGACAUCUUAGUUGCCUCUGAGUUUUUGGCAAUUAUGAAUAAAACUGCUAUAGAAAGAUGUGUGCAGGUUUUUCUGUGGAUAUAGUUUUCAACUCCUUUGGGUAACUCCAAGGAGUGUGGUCGCUGGAUCAUAUAGUAAGAGUAUGUGUAGUUUUGUAACAAAUAGCCAAAUGUUCUCCAAAGUGGCAUUAGCAUUUUGCUUUCCCACCAGCAAGGAAUAAGAGUUCCUGUUGCUCUGUAUCCUCACCAGCAUUUGGUGGUGUCAGUGUUCUGGAUUUUGGCCAUUGUAAUAAAUGUGUGGUGUUAUCUCAUUGUUGUUUUAAUUUGCAUUUGCCUGAUGACAUACAAUGUGGAACAUCUUUUUAUUGAAGCUAAUGUUUUAAGCCUGGCAAUUUAGUCUCUUCUCUUCCUGUAACCCUGAGCCACUGAGCACAGCUUUCUCCAGAAGCACCUGUGAGUCACUAUACACCACUGCUAUCUCCUGAAUGCUGGAGGCACUGGAGUGGGCCCUUUCAACUUUCAUUUUCUUAUUACCUAGAGAACUUGGCAUUGGUAGAUGCCCAAAAAAUGUAUGUGAGAUGCCUGCACAUUAAAAGACUGGCUGAAAACUUAAGCAGUAUACUGGUUUAGAUCAUUCAUCGCUGUCGGCAAGAGUAAAAAGCUAUGUAGCAGCAUUCUGAAGUAAUAAGCAACAGGCAUGUUAUUUCAGUUUCCAGAUCAAGUGCUGCUCUCAAAAUUGCAAAUUGACUUCUGGCCAGAGCCCUCUUGGAAGUUUCCUCAUUUUGCAAGUGCAGCUCUUUCCCCUGCUUGACAGGGGAAUGUACUGAGCACUCCCAGAUGGGCCUUUCCCAAGCAGGAACCAAUGGGCCCAAAUGAAUCAAGUUGAAGGAGAGUGAGCAGAGUCAGCAGUGAGAGAAAGACUUAGCUGCAAGGUCAAAAUCCGUCUGAAAACAGACACGAUGGAAGACAGACAGUUCCUCCUGGAUCAUCGUAUAAAGAAAAGGGAUGGAUCAAGACAGGGAUUGCUGAUGCAUAUCUGCUCGCUGUUUGACUACAAAAUACUCUCAUGAUUGAUUCUGUGUCUGCCACCCAAGAUCAGUCUCAAGGAAAUGCUGACAAAACCCUGGCACCCAGAGUCACAGAGCUCAGUUUCCAGCCCUAGCACCACCCUUGAUAACUUGAGUGACCUUGGACUCCUGGUCUCUGCCUCAGUUUCCAAAUUAAAUGAGUGUGGUGAAAACUUCUUCCUGGUCUGCUAUGGUGAAGAAGCAUGGCAGCUAAUAUGAAAUGCCUUGAAAAGCUGACACACUCUAUGAGAGCAAAGUAUUAAUAUUUUCCUCUUAGAAGCAAGUUCUUUUUUUGAAAUGGAGUCCAUUCUCUCUCCAAGUUGGAGUGUGCAGUGCUGUGAUCUCUGCUCACUGCAAUCUCCACCUCCCGAGUUCAAGCAAUUCUCCUACCUAAUCCUACCAAGUAGCUGGUAUUACAGGCACGCACCACCAUGCCCAGCUAAUUUUUGUAUUUUUAGUAGAGAUGGGGUUUCGCCAUGUUGGCCAGGCUAGUCUCGAACUCCUUACCUCAGGUGAUCUGCCCGCCUUGGCCUUCCAAAUUGCUGGGAUUACAGGUGUGAGCCACCGCACCUGGCCAGUAGCAAGUUCUUAAAGUGACCCCUUGCCCAAUCAACAUCUUUUCCUUUUGUCUGUCUCUACUGCAGCACCUAAAACACAUGGGUAAAAAUGUAGAGAAUGCAGAAUUGAGGGGACCAACAGCCUUCAGGAAAAUAAAGAAGCAGAGAAAGAAUAUGAAGGAAGCAUGAGUACAAAGCAAAGGCUCCAAGCCGCAGAUAAUCUAUCCUGGAAAAUGUUCCAUGUGGUGAUGAGAAGAAUGUAUAUUCUGUAGCUGUUGGAUGAAAUGUUCUGGAAGUGUCUAUUAAAUCCUUUUGGACUAAAGUGCUGUUUAAAUCCAAUGUUCACUGUAAAUUUUCUGUCUAGAUGAUCUGUCUAAUGCUAAGAGUAGAGUGUUGAAGUCCCCAUUCACUAUUGUAUUGGAGUCUGUCUCUCCCCUGCGAUAUAAUAAUAUUUGCUUUAUAUAUAUGGGUGCUCAAGUGUUGGAUGCAUACACAUGUUCAGAAUUGUUAUACCCUCUUGGUGAAUUGAUCCCCUUAUCAUUACAUAAUGACCUUCUUUGUCUCUUUUUACUGUUUUUGACUGAGCUGCUUCUGCUUACUUUGGAGUCCAUUGCAUGGAAUGUCUGUUUCCAUCCCUAUAUUUUCUGUCUACAGGUGAGGAGUUCAUAGUGGAAAUGUGGACCACUGGGGGUCUCUCACUUAUCCUUUCCCCAUGCUGGGAAGCCUCUCCAGGCUUCCAGCUGAUCCUAGCUGAGCAGGCAGCCUUGCUUUCUUUCCUUCCUUGAUUUAGGUGUUUCUUGUCACUUCUCUGUUUAAUUCCAAUAUUCUUUUUUAAAUAAUCUAAUCAAAGUGUGAUUAUCUACUCACUAUUUUGGUUCUUCCUUAUAGAGAAGGCAAGUACCAGAUGCCUCUAGUAAGCCAUCUUGAACCCCUCCUCACCUUAUUCUUCUUUAAUUUAAAAGUCCUGUUAUUGAAAUUUAAUGCUUACACCUACCUGGAAUUUAUUUUGUGUAUGGUAUGAGAUGGGGCUUCAAUUUUAUUUUUAUUUUGCAUAUAAAUAAUUAAUCAUACCAAUAACAUUAAAUUUUUUUUCUAACUGCUCUACAGUUCCACCUCUUUCAUAUAUCAAGUUUGCAUUCAUGUAUAGGCCUGCUCCUUCCUUUUAUUCUGUUACAUUGGUUUAUCUGUCUUUUCUGUACCAAUUCCACACAAUUUUAUUUACUCUAGCUUUAUGAAUAGAUUUAUUAUUUGAUUAAAAAUAAACUCCAUUAAAUGUCUGCUUCAAAAUUGCCUUGGCUAUUUGUGACACUUUACCAUAUAAAUUUUAUUUUAUUAUUAUUUACUUUUAUUUAUUAUUUGGUUUUUUUGGGAGACAG
rnacentral:lncRNA from 1 species